AUGCACAAUUCAUUGUCUUGCUCUUCAGUUUUAUUAAGAGCAGUGAUAUUUCUGUUGUGCUAGAAAAAAAACUGGAGGUAAAUUAGCAGAGUGGCUCCUUUGUGCCAUUUCUGCCAGUCCCCUUCAUACAAUA